AUCUAUCAAUUAUAUAAUGGAAUACAUUUUUGAGAGCCCACAACAAUUCUCUGUCCUACGUGGCGCUCUCAAAAGUCUCCAUUUUGAUUUAUCUAAAUUCUGUAUUCUCAAGCUUACGCCUCAAUCAUCAAGCUUUGCAAAUCUCCUUUAAACAAUAACCGUUACAAAAUUAGAUUAGCAAAUCCCAUAAAUUAUUCACACGCUAUUUACAGCUGCAAAAUCUCUGCAAUCUUAUUCACCGUCUAUAUUUUUCAUAAUCUCUCAAUUCCCAGUUACAGUUUCCAUGAACUAUGCCUAAAUCAUCUCUCGAUUUUCAUUGAUUAUGCCUCCAUUAAAGGUCAAUAGUCUAUCAGUCGAUUCUCAUAGUUUCUAGACUCUCGAUCUCAAAAUCAUUUUCCUUGCCUCUCCAUAUUAUUUCAUUGUUUCUACUGAUGAUGCCCCAAUCAGCCCUCAAUCAGGAAGCUACAAUUGGUUAUGCCCUAGCUUUUGAACUAUAAAUCUUUGGCAUUCGAAAUGGUUUCAAUCCUUAUCGUCGAACAUUCUCCGAAUGUCAUCUUUGGUUAAUCGACUAUCAAUUAUGAGGUUUGCUCUUUCUUAUCUAUGAUCGAUGAUCGAUUAAUUUUCAUCAUUAUGUUCGUGUAUUUGGUUUUUGUUUUAUUUAAAGACUUAAACCAUUUAUAUGCUAUUGCUUACCAACUGUUCUAUAAAAUGCCCAAAUCAUGAUUUGCUGACUUAUCUGAUAAGUUUAAUAGUCAAUAGAGUGACCUUGUGGGCUAAAUUGUUAGUGUCUCAAAACGGCAAAAUUUAUGUGUUGUUGUCGAGCUUCGCGAGUAGUUUUGAAUUGUCGUGAUUUGUUCCGUUUUAAGAUCGCUCAAGCAAAAACAUAGAUACAUGUGUUUGAUUUUGAUUGAAUCUUGAGUCUGCUCUGUUUUUUGUUGAUAAGCAUAAACAAUGGAGAUCGAAGGUUUGUAAUACCCAUAAACACACUGUUAUAGCCCAAAAUUUAAAAUACGCCCAUAUUCAAAGGAAAAUUAGUGGGUAGUGAUGUCAAGACCUAUAUUCCACGCUCAGUUCACUUCAAGACGAAUUAUAUUUACAAGUUAUCAAGAAAGUAAGAUAGUUAUUGCAUUUGUAAUGAUCAAGAGACAACAGCGUUAUAAGCACAUUUAGACUGAAAAUUUUGAAAAGCUCCGACUAACGAAACUCAAGAACUUCUUUACAUAUGCGUAAUGUUAUAGUUACAAGGAGUCUAGAAAACAAAGAACACUGCACCAAAAUAUCUGUCAAUUUAAAAGUAGGACUGGUUGUGGGCAUGGUAAGUUGGAAAUCCAAUACGGUAUUAUGCAUACCAUUUAUAUUCCACCUAUUUGAUUUAUUUAUAUUCUUUUGUUGAGGAUGGAGAUAUUGUCGAAUCGGAAGGAAGAAUGGAUUCUUGAAGCAAAGGCGAAAAUGAGGAGGUCAAUUGAAAAAUGGCGAAAGUUGAGAUAGAGUUUAUUGAUUAUAAAACUCUCAUGUAUAUGUAUUUUUCUUUUCAUGCAUCACCAUUAUCUAUUGAUCAUGACUUGUGCCAGUAGAAUCGUGUUUGUUAUUAAACUUAAAUCCAUUUAUAUAUUAUUUGAUUGAUUAUAUUGUACAUAUAUUGCUUUUAUUACAUUAAUUUCAUGGUGAUAUUAUUUUAAUCUUUUUUAAUAUUGUAUUUGAGUCCACAUAUUAAUUAAUGAUUUUUACUCUAAUCUUUGUGUAUUUGCUUUUACGUUGCGAGAUAAUUCGCUAAUGUUAUUAUUGUUCUACCUUAAAAUAUUUUUGUUAGUAUUGUUUUCUAUUUAUCUUUAAACAUGUUUUUUACAAUCUGACUUUUAACUCUUUUUCCAUUCGUUAAUUUAAUUGUGAUAAUUGAUAUUGCCCUAGCACAUGAUGCAAAAUGAUCUCGUAGAUUAUAUAAAUAGAAUCUCAACUUCAACCAAUUGCAGGAAACCUUUGAUAAUUUAAAAUCAGUUUUAAAAUUGUCUACUAAUGGUACAUUACAAGUUUCAUGGAUAUUUUAUAUUUUAAUGUGAGUACAUUUUGUCAUUGAUUAUGCGUAUUGUACACUAUUUUAUCUAUAUUCACUACAGCUACAUGUUUGAAAGCAUAACGAAGUGCAGAGUGAUCACCGGUGCAAAGGACCAUGGAUAAGGAGUGGCUCCGAUUAAGAUUUCCAAAUGGAGUGGUGAAGGGAUAAACCGAAGCACACCCGAACGAGAGGGAUUCCGAGACUAUGUUGAAAUGAGACGACAUAUUCAAGAAGAGCUUGUGUAAAAUUACUAACACUUGUGUAAAAUUCAUAGUAUUUCAUCAGCUUUUGUAAAUUCAUAUAUUGCCUUAUUUAUAUUCAUAUAUAUUUGUUGAUAGCAAUAUAUUGGCUUUAAUUUUUUUUUUUAAAUAAAAUUUGAAUCCCGC
rnacentral:lncRNA from 1 species